AUUGAACGCUGGCGGCAGGCCUAACACAUGCAAGUCGAGCGGAGCGGCUGACGGGUGAGUGAUGCCUAGGCAUCUGCCUGGUAUUGGGGGAUAACGUCCGGAAACGGGCGCUAAUACCGCAUACUAUCAGAUUCGCCUAGGUCGGAUUGGCUGUUUGGUGGGGUAAAGGCCUACCAAGGCGACGAUCCGUAACUGGUCUGAUCGGAGGAUCAGCCACACUGGAACUGAGACACGGCCCAGACUCCGACGGGAGGAGGCAGAGGGAAAGAUUGGAAAAUGGGCGAAAGCCUGAUCCAGCAAUGCGGCGUGUGUGAAGAAGGUCUUCGGAUUGUAAAGCACGUUAAGUUGGGAGGCGUUACCAACAGAAUAAGCACCGGCUAACUUCGUGCCAGCAGCCGCGGUAAUAC
rnacentral:rRNA from 1 species